rnacentral:rRNA from 1 species
UUGGGUUAAGUCCCGCAACGAGCGCAACCCUUGUCUUUAAUUGCCAUCAUUUAGUUGGGCACUUUAAAGAGACUGCCGGCGUUAAGCCGGAGGAAGGUGGGGAUGACGUCAAGUCCUCAUGGCCUUUAUGCCCAGGGCUACACACGUGCUACAAUGGGCGGUACAAAGAGAAGCAACCUCGCGAGGGUGAGCAAAUCUCAAAAAGCCGUUCUCAGUUCGGAUUGAAGUCUGCAACUCGACUUCAUGAAGUCGGAAUCGCUAGUAAUCGCGGAUCAGCAUGCCGCGGUGAAUACGUUCCCGGGCCUU